rnacentral:rRNA from 1 species
UACGGAGGGUGCAAACGUUGCUCGGAAUCAUUGGGCGUAAAGCGCACGUAGGCGGUCCGUUAAGUCGGAUGUGAAAGCCCCGGGCUCAACCCGGGAAGUGCAUACGAAACUGGCGGACUUGAAUAUGGAAGAGGGUCGCGGAAUUCCCGGUGUAGAGGUGAAAUUCGUAGAUAUCGGGAGGAACACCAGUGGCGAAGGCGGCGACCUGGGCCAAUAUUGACGCUGAGGUGCGAAAGCGUGGGGAGCAAACAGGG